AACGAACGCUGGCGGCAUGCCUAACACAUGAAAGUCGAACGAGAUCUUCGGGUCUAGUGGCGCACGGGUGCGUAACGCGUGGGAAUCUGCUCUUUGGUUCGGAAUAACAGUUGGAAACGACUGCUAAUACCGGAUGAUGACGAAAGUCCAAAGAUUUAUCGCCAGAGGAUGAGCCCGCGUAGGAUUAGCUAGUUGGGGUGGUAAAGGCGCACCAAGGCGACGAGCCUUAGCUGGUCUGAGAGGAUGAUCAGCCACACUGGGACUGAGACACGGCCCAGACUCCUACGGGAGGCAGCAGUGGGGAAUAUUGGACAAUGGGCGAAAGCCUGAUCCAGCAAUGCCGCGUGAGUGAUGAAGGCCUUAGGGUUGUAAAGCUCUUUUACCCGGGAUGAUAAUGACAGUACCGGGAGAAUAAGCUCCGGCUAACUCCGUGCCAGCCGCCGCAGUAA
rnacentral:rRNA from 1 species